rnacentral:lncRNA from 1 species
AGCCAGUUUCAGACAUUGGAAGCCGGACCUGCUCUGCCCAGAAAGCCUCAUUAUGGCUCAUGAAGCUCACCUGGACUAUGACAGUAGCCUUCUUUUAUUUAUUAUUUUUUGAGAUGGAGUUUCACUGUUUCACCCAGGCUGGAGUGAAGUGGUGCAAUCUCAGCUCACUGCAAACUCCGCCCCCUGGGUUCAAGUGAUUCUCUUGCCUCAGCCUCCCGAGUAGCUGGGAUUACAAGAGUGCACCGCCAUGCCCAGCUAAUUUCUGUAUUUUUAGUAGAGACAGGGUUUUGCCAUGUUGGCCAGGCUGGUCUGGAACUCCUGACCUUAGGUGAUCCAUCUGCCUCGGCCUCCAAAAGUGUGAAGAUUACAGGCCUGAGUCACCGCGCCCGGCUGACAGUAGCUUUCUAAUGGAGCCAUCUGCUUCCAGUCUUGCCUCUCAACCCCCAAUUCAUCCUGGACUCCUUGCCAUAAGUGACCUUGCUAAAUGGAGAUUU